AAAAUAAUUGUUAUUUUCUUGUUUUAUAAUAAAAUUUAUGUUAAUAUUGAUUUAUAAUAUUAUUACAUUAUCAUGUACAAAAUUAAUUAAUGUGUUAUUUAUGAAAAUAUUAAAAAGUUUAAGUAAGAUUUUGUUAGAUUCUUUUUCAACAGACUUUGUUAUAAUUAAAAAAAAAUCAAAUUUAUUGUUGGUUUAUUAUUAAUGUAACUAAUCAAAUAUGUCAUAUUAAAAAAUAGGUGAAUUUGCUAUCUAGCCAAGAUUGGAGUUAAAAUUAAGUAAAUAGCUUUGAUUUUGACGUUAUUAAAUUGAUAACAUUUUAUACACUUUUUAUCCGGUUAUGUCCUUAUCUGUUCUAAGUUACCGGUGACAAUGGGACCAAAGAUUAACGUCGAUGAGAGCACAUGUCCAAAAGAAAUUGAGAUUUAAUAUAGUCCACGUACGGGUUAACUAUUAUAAGUAAGUGUUCUAUUCCAUUUAUAAAAGUACUACGUCAGAUAGAACAAACAGAACAUCUUCAUACGAAAAAGAAUCAUAAACUCUAAACCUAACCUGCACGCCUAAAUACUAAACCAUAAACUCGAGUCUCUAAACCCAAACCCAAAUGUUAAAUUUAAUUUAAAGUUAUAAUAUUUUAAAGAAAACAACAAAAAUAAUAAAUAUUUAAAUUUUGAACUAUUAUUCUAUACUAUCUAACAUGGUAUGAAUAUUACUCUUGUAAUCCAACCCUAA
rnacentral:lncRNA from 1 species